GUACACACUUCCACAGCACAUACACUAAAAUUGAAUGAUACAGAGAUUAACAUGGCCCCUGCACAAAGAUGUCAUGCAAAUUCAUGAAACGUUCAUUAUUUUC